ensembl:lncRNA
CACUCCCUUCAAAUAGAGUGUAUAUGAUAUCAGCGGGGGAGAGGACAGAGGUUAUAGCCAUGGACUGAACUACCCAGUAGUGUUUGUUUUCUGAGUCGGAUCUAUGUCCAUCAGCGGUCAACCCCCACAGAGAGAGCUCUGGGUCCCAGGCCACCCCUUUCCCCUGCCGCCUUUGCUUUCACCUUUCUGCUUGGCUGCACCCCUUCGUGCAAGGCCUGUGUCCUCAGCGCUGGGCUUCAGAGCAGAGGAUACAUGGGUAUUAUUGAUGUGUUGGACUCCAGACUUUGCAGGGGGCCUUCAGUGCCCAAAGUAAGACUGCUGUCAGUACAGAGCACUAUAAGGGCUCCUCUGGGUCUCGACAUCAGGCGUAGGUGACAGCAGCCAUAUUUUAUUCCACACAUACAGGCCAUAUACUCCACACUGUACCUCUCCAGCUGAGCGUUAUAAACAGCUUCCUCUAAAAUGACUAAUGAACCAUAAAAGCUGAUCACCUAAAUGCAAUAAACCUGUGGGGAACAGUUUUUCCUCUUGGUAUGAGCAAGCAUGGUUCGUGUAGGCUUUACUUGACUACAGAUUCUUGCAACUAAUGCAUGCCAUUUGGAAUUUGAUGAGGUAAAGUAGGAAGUGUCGAUGCUUAUCAACUCAUGUAUAAUGAAAUAAUUAAAAGAAAUAUUAAAAAUGUGACUUAUAAAACAGACCACAGGUUACCUACUGUCUGAGAGACAGUUUGACAGAGACAGUGUGUUUCUGUGUGAUUAGCAUCCUGCCAUACAGUCUCUCCAAAUGUGCACAUAUGAAUUUAACCUUGCCUGAGGUUUUUUAUUCUAAAACUCUUUUUUUUCUCUCUCUCUCUAUUUAUAAUGCGCCCCUGGCAUCACAGCUUUCCCAGCCUACACUAAAAGUUGCUUAGAAAUAGUGUCAGCAACGAUAAAACAUGUUUGUGAGCGAGACAAAAUUUGAUGUAAAAUUUUGCAGGACUUUCCUAGUAGUUACUUACUGCUACAAUCUUUCACAGCAUUUGACUUACCAGUUCAUUUUAGUUUGUUAUUGAUUUGUGUAAAAACAAAGCCCAA